CCCGUAACGACGCGCAACCCUUGUCCUUAGUUACCAGCACGUUAUGGUGGGCACUCUAAGGAGACUGACCGGUGGACAAACCGGAGGAAGGUGGGGAUGACGUCAAGUCAUCAUGGCCCUUACGGCCUGGGCUACACACGUGCUACAAUGGUCGGUACAAAGGGUUGCCAAGCCGCGAGGUGGAGCUAAUCCCAUAAAACCGAUCGUAGUCCGGAUCGCAGUCUGCAACUCGACUGCGUGAAGUCGGAAUCGCUAGUAAUCGUGAAUCAGAAUGUCACGGUGAAUACGUUCCCGGGCCUU
rnacentral:rRNA from 1 species